GAUAGUACUGGAGUAAAGUUACUGGUGAAAGUAAAUUCACUAAUACGCAGCAGUGCAAAAAAUGCUAAAUAAAAUGCAGUUGAAAACAUUGCCAAGCCAAGACAAAAUUAUAUUUAGAGCGGAAGGUUUCGAAAGAGUUAAUGCCCUUCUGAUAUGUAUUUUUAGAUACUGCUGCUUCGAGUAAACUUUCUACAUGUCGUUUAAGAGAGUUGUCAAUGCCGGAGGUAUACUGACUGGAAUCUUGUCUGCCUGAGGAGCCAAGGUUCUGAAUCUUUCCCACUGAAAUCGAGAAAUUGAAUCCGCGAUAGAGUUUUGAUAACCUGGAACAUGGAUAGUUUUAAUCUGAAUGUUAUGCCUAA